AAGUAUUCUUGGCCGGUUCUGGUGGUGUCCUAAACCAAAGGACAAACCACAGUACAAAGUCCACAAGUAUUGAGGUGUUUUGAACACCUCUUUCUCACAGUGGCUCCCACACUCAGCACCACACAGGCACGGUGGCUGAUUUACACCUGGAGUGGAUGGACAAAACCUGAAAGAGAAAGCACAAAAGAGAAUUUUCAGUUUGAGAUCAUGCAGAAAGUCGUGGAGAGAGCCAGGGAGACCUGUGUCUCCUCAUCUUUAGAUCAGAGCUUUAGCUACUUGACAAGGCUCUGUCCCUCUGAGCGAUCCACCAAAAUCUCCUGAGGUAACCUUCAUUUUCAAACAAGGAAAGCCCUUGCAGCUCUGACACAGAAGAGCGGCACCGAGCCUUGGUCUGUUCCUGCCCUUUUUCCCACUCCAGUUCCAGGCUGGGUGUUGGAGGCUGGAGUCCCAUGUGCUAUCACACUGGAAACACUGUGUCCUCUGAGCACCACCUCACAAAGCCGCCUGCUGCUGACCAUUACUCCCAUUCCUGAUGAAGUGAAAGGAUGCAGGGAUGAAGUCACUCUUACUCAGCCUUGUGAUCUCAUUUCAGUGAGCAUUCAGGACUGUUUGCUCGAAGCCUUACUGGUGCUGAACGGGAUUGCGCAAUUCAGGCUUCAGGAGCUGCCGUGUGGGUGUGUGCGUACUCUCUGCACAGGAAGGAGCACAGAGAGUUCCUUGUAGUAGCCUUUGUUUCAAGGCUCUGGAGAACAUCUUAAAAGCCUGUCCCUCUCCUAUGUCAUCUGUAACUUCCUUUGCACUGGAACACACGCACUGAGUGGGAGAGGUAAUGACAGUGGAGAGAAAGUACUCACAAUAUAAACAUACUUUCACCUUGCGCAGAUAGCAGAAGGGAGCCCAACAAAUGGCCCUGCCAGGAAAGGAAUCUCCUUCCAACUUGGUGUGUCUGCUAGGGGAAGACUGGGAACACUGUGUUUUCUGCAGGGCCAUCUGAUGCUGUCUGCGAUGCUGCACUUGUUUACUGCAGCGUGUUGUGGCUCUGGGAAUUGCAGCACAGAAAUGUCCAAAAGGUUUUAUACUUGGCUUAUUUCUCAGAAAGCUGUGACUUGGAAAACUC
ensembl:lncRNA